rnacentral:rRNA from 1 species
GAUGAACGCUGGCGGCGUGCCUAAUACAUGCAAGUCGAGCGAAUGGAUUAAGAGCUUGCUCUUAUGAAGUUAGCGGCGGACGGGUGAGUAACACGUGGGUAACCUGCCCAUAAGACUGGGAUAACUCCGGGAAACCGGGGCUAAUACCGGAUAACAUUUUGAACCGCAUGGUUCGAAAUUGAAAGGCGGCUUCGGCUGUCACUUAUGGAUGGACCCGCGUCGCAUUAGCUAGUUGGUGAGGUAACGGCUCACCAAGGCAACGAUGCGUAGCCGACCUGAGAGGGUGAGCGGCCACACAGGGACAGAGCAACGGCCCAGACUCCUACGGGAGGCAGCAGUAGGGAAUCUUCCGCAAUGGACGAAAGUCUGACGGAGCAACGCCGCGUGAGUGAUGAAGGCUUUCGGGUCGUAAAACUCUGUUGUUAGGGAAGAACAAGUGCUAGUUGAAUAAGCUGGCACCUUGACGGUACCUAACCAGAAAGCCACGGCUAACUACGUGCCAGCCGCCGCAGUAA